GCCGCUCAGUUGGUAGUGCGUCUGCCUUGUAAGCGCUAGGCCGCGGGUUCGAUUCCCGCCCGGGGCG
rnacentral:tRNA from 1 species